UCACUAAUUCUACGGGCUAUGUCAGCAAC
rnacentral:sRNA from 1 species